rnacentral:rRNA from 1 species
GGAUGUUCCGUUGAGUCUGCAACAAACGUUGUAUGUACUACAUUGUGACGUCCAUCCUCGAAGCGAACAUAUGUGUCAUUCAGUUGAUGUAUAUGGUUACUUCGUCAUUUACUGUGAGCAAAAUAGGGUGUUCAAAGCAGGCUUAUGCCGUUGAAUACAUUAGCAUGGAAUAAUAAGAUAGGACCUUGGUCUAUUUUGUUGGUUUGUACUCCAAGGUA